UUUCCGUAGGUGAACCUGCGGAAGGAUCAUUAAAGAGUUGCAAUACGGUUCGGUGAUGGCAGGCAGUUUUAGGAUGCAUGUUCUUGCCCUAACGAUCAUCUGCUUCCAAACACGUGUGCACCAUUUUGCGUGCGUCUUGAGUUGGUUGACUGCCUUGGGUGAUAGUCUCACAUUCCCUUAAAUCAUUAUAUGCUAUUAACAAUGUUGAACGUGCUCUGUGCCGCUAGUUCAUUAAGAUAGUACAACUUUUAACAACGGAUCUCUUGGCUCUC
rnacentral:misc_RNA from 1 species